rnacentral:rRNA from 1 species
AGGUGCUGCAUGGCUGUCGUCAGCUCGUGUUGUGAAAUGUUGGGUUAAGUCCCGCAACGAGCGCAACCCUUAUCCUUGUUGCCGGCGGUCCGGCCGGGAACUCAAAGGAGACUGCCAGUGAUAAACUGGAGGGAAGGUGGGAUGACGUCAAGUCAUCAUGGCCCUUACGACCAGGGCUACACACGUGCUACAAUGGCGCAUACAAAGAGGAGCGACCUCGCGAGAGCAAGCGGACCUCAUAAAGUGCGUCGUAGUCCGGAUUGGAGUCUGCAACUCGACUCCAUGAAGUCGGAAUCGCUAGUAAUCGCGGAUCAGCACGCCGCGGUGAAUACGUUCCCGGGCCUU